rnacentral:rRNA from 1 species
CGAGCAGGCCUACACAUGCAGUCGAGCGCAGCACGGGUACUUGUACCUGUGGCGAGCGGCGGACGGGUGAGUAAGGCCUAGGAAUCUGCCUGGUAGUGGGGGAUACGGCUCGGAAACGGACGCUUAAUACCGCAUACGUCCUACGGGAGAAAGCAGUAGACCUUUCGGACCUUGCGCUAUCAGAUGAGCCUAGGUCGGAUUAGCUAGUUGGUGAGGUAAUGGCUCACCAAGGCGACGAUCCGUAACUGGUCUGAGAGGAUGAUCAGUCACACUGGAACUGAGACACGGUCCAGACUCCUACGGGAGGCAGCAGUGGGGAAUAUUGGACAAUGGGCGAAAGCCUGAUCCAGCCAUGCGGCGUGUGUGAAGAAGGUCUUCGGAUUGUAAAGCACUUUAAGUUGGGAGGAAGGGCAUUAACCUAAUACGUUGGUGUCUUGACGGUACCUAACCAGAAAGCCACGGCUAACUACGUGCCAGCAGCCGCGGUAAUACGUAGGUGGCAAGCGUUGUCCGGAAUUAUUGGGCGUAAGGCGCGCGCAGGCGGUCCUUUAAGUCUGAUGUGAAAGCCCACGGCUCAACCGUGGAGGGUCAUUGGAAACUGGGGGACUUGAGUGCAGAAGAGGAAAGCGGAAUUCCACGUGUAGCGGUGAAAUGCGUAGAGAUGUGGAGGAACACCAGUGGCGAAGGCGGCUUUCUGGUCUGUAACUGACGCUGAGGCGCGAAAGCGUGGGGAGCAAACAGGAUUAGAUACCCUGGUAGUCCACGCCGUAAACGAUG